rnacentral:rRNA from 1 species
UACGGAGGGUGCAAGCAUUGAUCGGAAUUACUGGGCGUAAAGGGCGCGUAGGCGGUGAUAUAAGUCGGAUGUGAAAUUCCGGGGCUCAACCCCGGAGCUGCAUUUGAAACUGUAUCGCUAGAGUUCAGUUAGGGUAAACGGAAUUCCACGUGUAGCGGUGAAAUGCGUAGAUAUGUGGAAGAACACCGGUGGUGAAGACGGUUUACUGGGCUGAAACUGACGCUGAGGCGCGAAAGCUAGGGGAGCAAACAGG